GUCCACGCCGUAAACGAUGGAUACUAGCUGUUGGGAGCAAUCUCAGUGGCUAAGCGAAAGUGAUAAGUAUCCCACCUGGGGAGUACGAACGCAAGUUUGAAACUCAAAGGAAUUGACGGGGGCCCGCACAAGCGGUGGAGCAUGUGGUUUAAUUCGAUGAUACGCGAGGAACCUUACCAAGGCUUAAAUGUAGAUUGACCGGUUUUGGAAACAGAUCUUUCGCAAGACAAUUUACAAGGUGCUGCAUGGUUGUCGU
rnacentral:rRNA from 1 species